rnacentral:tRNA from 1 species
AGUCCAAUGGUUAGGACUCUGCACUUCCAUUGCAGGGGGCUCAGGUUCAAUCCCUGG